UUCUUCCUUAUUUGCUUCAACACUUACUCACUGAACACCCACUCCGGACUGGCAUGUUAAACUCAGUUAAUGGUGAAGUCAUAAUUCUGUUUCAUUUAGCUGUUACUUUUAAUUCCCUCCUGUUACUACAGUUCCUGUGGAAUUCCCAGGCAAAGUCGGUGAAGUGGAAACAGCCUGGAAGAUAGAAUGCUGCUUCCUGUGACUAAUUCUGCCAACACAUACAGGCCGUUGCUUCCCUGGUUGUUCAGAGGAGAGAUGCUGAGAUUUAGAAGAUAUGUUUAGAAUUGGGAGUAGCAAUUCUCUCUGAGGAGCAUUUCUCCAUUCCACAUCAUUGGAAGAGCUGGGCCAGUAAUAUCAGUGGGAAGUAAGGAGUGAACUCAAUCAGAAUGUCUCUGCUCUGGUCGAACCUCUACUAUGGUGAGAAAGAAGCAUCCUGCUCAACUACCACUCUCAAGCCCCAACUGUUACUAUGAAAAAAAA